rnacentral:lncRNA from 1 species
CAAAAGACGAUGUCCAAGCCUGGCAAAAUGACUAUAUUCGUCGAAAGUAGUUAUUAGAAAGUUUAGAACAACCUCCUGGUCCUUUUGCGAAGUGAUUUUAUGUAAAAACUGUGAUAAGAUGGCAGAAGCUAAUCAAGUUUGAAGAGCUUCGUUUAUAAUCUCCAAGCGUUGCGGAUAGGGCAGGUGCAAAUCCGACCCCAGGACGUUUUCUUCGUUGGUGUGGUGCCCGGAGCAAAUGAUUCCGGACAUCAUGGUGCCAGACCGCGAUGUAGCACCACCGACCGGCUGCAACACCAGUCAGUCUCAAAGGUCUCGGGGGUUGAAGUAGAGCAGAAAUUUUCGACACAAACGAUCGAAUUCUUAGUCGCCCCAUAACCCCACCUCUGGGGGGUAGCGUUUGUUCUAGUAGGCAGUAGGAGGACCGACCAAGGCGAUUUCGACAUUGAUAUAGCUUGUACUAAGAAUAGGUGUAAAAUAAGGCUGAUGUUAGCCAAGAUGAUUGCGUUUGUUUCUCGAAGAAGAUGCAACAUGAGUUCGGCGUCUUUGAGUAAAGAUAAAGUUCAUAUCAUGCUGACCCUGUUAUUGAACAACAGGAAACGUGGCAUGCCGGACCGUGUGGGCGGUAUCAACCAGUUCGAAGUUCAAAAUCACCUAAACCUGAAGCUGAACGCCUGACAAACUGAAGGGGCGGCUGCUCCAGACGUUUUAGAUGUAUGAUUGCCUAAAGGUGCUCGUCACCGCUGGUUACCCCCGACAAUCUUGCCGCCAGCGAUACGGUACGUUAUCAUUGACUCGACUGACGGCGUAGCUGCAGAGGCGCUUUUAAGUUUGUCGUUCUACUUGUGCUCGUGAAUAUUUCUGUAUUCGCCCCCGUCUAUGUAUCCUGAUAUGGCUGGACAUGGACGAAUCCAAACUCUCGCCCCGGCAGCAAACGGCAUGUUGUUGCCACUGCUGAUGCAGACGCCGUGAGCGAGGUGACGUGUGAAGUACUUUUCGCAGGCCUGCGGAACCAAUCGAAGCCCGAAGCUGAUAGAUGCGCUGUAGUGCCAACGAUGACGACAAUUUGGACACGGGUAGAAACGGGGCGAACAAGACCUCCUACCCGAACGAAAGCAGUCAUCGUCAAUAGGCUGACAAGCGUCACACAACCGAGACGAUUAAAAGAACGAGAGAGAGGACGUCACGCAUGCUCUUCUCUCCCAUCUGUUGUUGUUGUUACCGUCGUUGUUACUGUCGACAACCUGAAGCUGACGGCCAGAAGGAUGAUGUCGGCGAUGACAGGCUGGCCGCCUACCGAGAGAACAAUGGGAGAAGGUGAGGGAAAUGAGGAAACAAUUCGGGAGUCGUGGCUCAGAACGGAUGGCAUUUGGCCACGCGGCAGUGCAGCUGUAGCAGCAGCAGCAGCAGCAAUAACAAUAACGGCGACAACUGGGCGGUAACAGGAACGAGGUAAACAGGUGAUGAAGAAAAUGAUCCAGUGCGAAAGGAAAGGCCGAUGACGACAGCGAGAGCGGUGUCGCUUGGAUGGACAUAUCUGAAGAUCCGAACUGAGAGGGACAGAAAGCCGAACGGGACGAAAUG